rnacentral:misc_RNA from 1 species
CUGGAACUGUGUCCUCACGGGCACAACCCCAGAUACCCUUUUGUGAACUUAUACCUAUAUAUCGUUGCCUCGGCGCCGAGCCGGGGGCACUCUACUGUGUCCCCCCUGCCCGCUCUCUCUCUAGGGAGGCUGGCUGGAGCAGGCCCGCCGGCGGCCCACCAAACUCUUUGUUUUUAGAACGUAUCUCUUCUGAGUUUAUAACAAACAAAUGAAUCA